rnacentral:rRNA from 1 species
AUUGAACGCUGGCGGCAGGCCUAACACAUGCGAGUCGAGCGGAUGAAGGGAGCUUGCUCCUGGAUUCAGCGGCGGACGGGUGAGUAAUGCCUAGGAAUCUGCCUGGUAGUGGGGGAUAACGUCCGGAAAUGGGCGCUAAUACCGCAUACGUCCUGAGGGAGAAAGUGGGGGAUCUUCGGACCUCACGCUAUCAGAUGAGCCUAGGUCGGAUUAGCUAGUUGGUGGGGUAAAGGCCCACCAAGGCGACGAUCCGUAACUGGUCUGAGAGGAUGAUCAGUCACACUGGAACUGAGACACGGUCCAGACUCCUACGGGAGGCAGCAGUGGGGAAUAUUGGACAAUGGGCGAAAGCCUGAUCCAGCCAUGCCGCGUGUGUGAAGAAGGUCUUCGGAUUGUAAAGCACUUUAAGUUGGGAGGAAGGGCAGUAAGUUAAUACCUUGCUGUUUUGACGUUACCAACAGAAUAAGCACCGGCUAACUUCGUG